rnacentral:tRNA from 2 species
AGGGAAUUAGCUCAGUUGGUAGAGCGCUACCCUUACAAGGUAGAUGUCGUCGGUUCGAAUCCGGCAUUCCCUACCA